AAAAAAAUUCCUGCAUUUUUCAAACCAGCCCCUGGAUCUGAAUACUUUUGUAAUUGCAUGUAAUUUUCUUUAGCCUCUGAGUUAUUUAAGAAAAUGUAUCUGUAUAGCGCCACCUGCUCUUUGUUCUUGUUCUUAUUUCUUAGUCCUGCUCACUGAGAUGGCCGCACAUGCUCAGU